CGAUGCUAAUACCGGAUAACAUCAUUAGAAUCAAGGUUCUUUUGAUCAAAGGUGGCCUCUAGAUCUAAGCUACUGUUUGGAGAUGAGCCCGCGUACCAUUAGCUAGUUGGUAGGGUAAUGGCCUACCAAGGCUACGAUGGUUAGCUGGUCUGAGAGGAUGAUCAGCCACACUGGAACUGACACACGGUCCAGACUCCUACGGGAGGCAGCAGUGAGGAAUUUUGCCCAAUGGGGGAAACCCUGAGGCAGCAACGCCGCGUGAGUGAUGAAGGCUUUAGGGUCGUAAAACUCUGUCAAGUGGGAAGAACCUGUAAAAUAUUAAUACCAUUUUGCACUGACGGUACCACUGAAGGAAGCACCGGCUAACUCCGUGCCAGCAGCCGCGGUAAUACGGGGGGGUGCAAGCGUUAUUCGGAAUUAUUGGGCGUAAAGGGCGCGUAGGCGGCCUCUUAAGUCAAAUGUGAAAGCCCGAGGCUUAACCUCGGAAGUGCGUUUGAAACUAAGGGGCUUGAGUAUGGGAGAGGGAAGUGGAAUUCCUGGUGUAGAGGUGAAAUUCGUAGAUAUCAGGAGGAACACCGGUGGCGAAGGCGACUUCCUGGACCAAUACUGACGCUGAGGCGCGAAGGCGUGGGUAGCAAACAGGAUUAGAUACCCUGGUAGUCCACGCAGUAAACGUUGAACACUAGGUGUAGCGGGUACUGACCCCUGCUGUGCCGCAGUUAACGCAUUAAGUGUUCCGCCUGGGGAGUACGAUCGCAAGAUUAAAACUCAAAGGAAUUGACGGGGGCCCGCACAAGCGGUGGAGCAUGUGGUUUAAUUCGACCACGCGAAGAACCUUACCUGGAUUUGACAUCCCGAGAAGUCUUUCGAAAGAUUGAUGUGCCCUUCGGGGAACUCGGUGACAGGUGCUGCAUGGCUGUCGUCAGCUCGUGUCGUGAGAUGUUGGGUUAAGUCCCGCAACGAGCGCAACCCCUAUUUUUAGUUACCAUCAUUCAGUUGGGGACUCUAGAGAUACUGCCCCGGUUAACGGGGAGGAAGGUGGGGAUGACGUCAAGUCCUCAUGGCCCUUAUAUCCAGGGCUACACACGUGCUACAAUGGACUGUACAAAGGGUUGCGAACCUGCGAGGGUAAGCCAAUCCCAUAAAGCAGUUCUCAGUUCGGAUUGGAGUCUGCAACUCGACUCCAUGAAGUUGGAAUCGCUAGUAAUCGUGGAUCAGCAUGCCACGGUGAAUACGUUCCCGGGCCUUGUACACACCGCCCGUCACAUCAUGAGAGUUGAUUGUACCAGAAGUUGUUGGACCAACCCGCAAGGGGGGUAGGCACCUAAGGUAUGAUUGAUGAUUAGGGUGAAGUCGGAACAAGGUAGCCGUUGGGGAACCAGCGGCUG
rnacentral:rRNA from 1 species